rnacentral:rRNA from 1 species
CGGACGGGUGAGUAAUGCCUAGGAAUCUGCCUGGUAGUGGGGGACAACGUUUCGAAAGGAACGCUAAUACCGCAUACGUCCUACGGGAGAAAGCAGGGGACCUUCGGGCCUUGCGCUAUCAGAUGAGCCUAGGUCGGAUUAGCUAGUUGGUGAGGUAAUGGCUCACCAAGGCGACGAUCCGUAACUGGUCUGAGAGGAUGAUCAGUCACACUGGAACUGAGACACGGUCCAGACUCCUACGGGAGGCAGCAGA